rnacentral:lncRNA from 1 species
UAGACUGGAGCUGUUCCUAUUCGGCCAUCUUGGCUCCUCCCUCCAUCGGUAAACCAACUCUUUAACAAAGGGGAGCUGAGGCUCUGUGGCUGGAACCUGGGACUUAGGCCUGAAUUAAUCAGAGCAAUGCACUCCACUGGCCGUAAGUAUAUUUCAGGAGUGGGCAUAUGACCAGUCAGAAUGAAUCCUGGACUCAACAAUGGGAGGUUGUGAAGCUGGAGCUGUUGGCAGCCAUCUGGAGGGGACAGUUUGUCCUGGUGACCUUAUGGUAUGGUUCACUGUGUCCCCACCCAAAUCUCAUCUUGAAUUGUAUCUCCCAUAAUUCCCAUGUGUUGUGGGAGGGUCCUGGUGGGAGGCAAUUGAAUCAUGCAGGCAAUUCUUUCCUGUGCUGUUCUCAUAAUAGCAAAUAAGUCUAAUGGUAUCUGAUGGUUUUAUAAAGGGGAGUUCCCCUGCACAUUCUUUCUUGCCUGCCACCAUGUAAGACGUGACUUUGCUCCUCAUUCACCUUCCACCAUUAUUGUGAGGCUUCCCCAGCCAUGUGGAACCGUGAGUCAAUUAAAC